rnacentral:rRNA from 1 species
GACGAACGCUGGCGGCGUGCCUAAUACAUGCAAGUAGAACGCUGAAGGAGGAGCUUGCUUCUCUGGAUGAGUUGCGAACGGGUGAGUAACGCGUAGGUAACCUGCCUGGUAGCGGGGGAUAACUAUUGGAAACGAUAGCUAAUACCGCAUAAGAGUAGAUGUUGCAUGACAUUUGCUUAAAAGGUGCAAUUGCAUCACUACCAGAUGGACCUGCGUUGUAUUAGCUAGUUGGUGGGGUAACGGCUCACCAAGGCGACGAUACAUAGCCGACCUGAGAGGGUGAUCGGCCAAACUUGGAAUGAGACACGGCCCCGGCUCCUACGGGAGGCAGCAAGAGGGAAACUUCGGCAAUGGACGGAAGGCUGAACGGGCAACGCCGCGUGAGUGAAGAAGGUUUUCGGAUCGUAAAGCUCUGUUGUAAGGGAAGAAAGAGUGUGAGAGUGGAAAGUUCACACUGUGACGGUAUCUUACCAGAAAGGGACGGCUAACUACGUG